UAAUUCAGCAUAAUCUUUUGACAUUUGAAAAUGUGGACUUUGGUUUUGUUUUGUUUGCAGAGUGGAGUGACCCAGCCAGCAAAGGUACCAGCAAGUCAGUGCCACAAAAGUCAAUGCUUGAGGAUGACCUGAAACUCAGCAGUGAUGAAGACGACAGCGAACAGGCUGCUGAAAAGACAAAACCUAGAAACAUUCCCAUAAAGUAAGUUACUUUUAUAUCAGUUGGAAAUUUCAACUUUAAUGAACUCCAUGCAAAGAAAAAAAAUUAAAAC
rnacentral:lncRNA from 1 species